UACGUAGGUGGCGAGCGUUGUCCGGAAUUACUGGGCGUAAAGGGUGUGCAGGCGGAUAUUUAAGUGAGAUGUGAAAGACCCGGGCUUAACCCGGGCAGUGCAUUUCAAACUGGAUAUCUAGAGUGCAGGAGAGGAGAACGGAAUUCCUAGUGUAGCGGUGAAAUGCGUAGAGAUUAGGAAGAACACCAGUGGCGAAGGCGGUUCUCUGGACUGUAACUGACGCUGAGGCACGAAAGCGUGGGUAGCAAACAGG
rnacentral:rRNA from 1 species